GCCUGAUCUAGAGGUAGUGAGGUAUCUCAACUGAUUGUUCAUAGUCCAGUUACAGAUCCAACUCCUUGUUCUACUCUUUCCCCUUUUAUCACUACUGCACUUGACUAGUCCUUU
rnacentral:Y_RNA from 1 species